GGAGCGUUCAGUGGUUCAAUUCUUGCUCCCCAGCACUCAUCUUGCAUGUUGGUGCAUAAUGAACACCACGUAUGGAUUGAAAUCCCAUUUACAGGAUGUUCAGUUACGGAACCUGUAAUCAGGAGAGAGUGAAGUUUGUCUCCCUGACAGUUAAUCCUGAGACAGCCUUCCAUUGCCUUGAUAGGCUUGUCAUUCAUGCCUUGACACCUCUCAUUCAUCUGAGUCUGGCCUGCUGGAUAUGCAAAUGAUAGGAGGACUGAAAAUCAUAAUCCUUCAGCCGUGAUGGCGUCAACGUCACUAUUCUUGGAACAAGCCAUUUUAUUUACUAUCAAUAAAUUGGCUGCACUUAUUAGAUGGCAGAGCCCUAAGAUGUUGGUGGGAGUAUUUCAAAUGGAAUUAACAUGAAGAGAUGCAGAGCUGUAUACUAUCAUCUGUGAAAUAUGGAGAAGGACAAGCAAUACAUAAACAGGGAAAAAGAGAAUAAUCUGAUCUACCUCUGCGGGUGCUGGUAAGGAUUAAAUAAGAAGAUACAUGCAGACCCAGCAUGGUGCCGAGCACACUAAGCAUUCAGCAAAUGUACCAGAGAUGUCUCCAAGAGCACCAGCAACCCCAGCUAUCUGGAUCUGAAGUGGAUAUGCUCAGAGACAUCCUGGCCCACCCCAAAGAAGAUGCUGCUGCACUCAGAAGACGCCAGAGCUAGCCACCACCCACACUGCAAGUCUGGAAGCUCUGCAAGGACCCAGCAAGGCAGCCUGCUCAGCGAAGGCUUUGUCUCCUGUGGCAGGAAGAGCAACAUUAAGAACAAGAACCCCGGGCUGGACUACCCCUGAGAUUUAAUGACCAGAGCUGAGACCCCCAAGACCACAAUGACUAUGGAGGGCUGUCAUUACCCUGCCUGACCCUCUAAUGCCUCUCAGUUCAAGGAGGCCACUGAGUGAAACUGAAGGCUGGUUUUCCUUGGAAGCCAGCGGCCCAUCCACCUGCUCCACUUCCCUGCCUCUUGCAGCCUCCGCUCAAACACUGUCGUGGCUUGGCAGCACUACAAGGCAGAGUGAAAACAGAUACUUCUACCCACAUUCCUAUCUCCUCUCAUUUACGCAGAUUAAAUGCUUUCUUUCCUUGUUUUA
rnacentral:lncRNA from 1 species